rnacentral:rRNA from 1 species
AUUGAACGCUGGCGGCAGGCCUAACACAUGCAAGUCGAGCGGUAGAGAGAAGCUUGCUUCUCUUGAGAGCGGCGGACGGGUGAGUAAUGCCUAGGAAUCUGCCUGGUAGUGGGGGAUAACGUUCGGAAACGGACGCUAAUACCGCAUACGUCCUACGGAGAAAGCAGGGGACCUUCGGGCCUUGCGCUAUCAGAUGAGCCUAGGUCGGAUUAGCUAGUUGGUGGGGUAAUGGCUCACCAAGGCGACGAUCCGUAACUGGUCUGAGAGGAUGAUCAGUCACACUGGAACUGAGACACGGUCCAGACUCCUACGGGAGGCAGCAGUGGGGAAUAUUGGACAAUGGGCGAAAGCCUGAUCCAGCCAUGCCGCGUGUGUGAAGAAGGUCUUCGGAUUGUAAAGCACUUUAAGUUGGGAGGAAGGGCAGUAAAUUAAUACUUUGCUGUUUUGACGUUACCGACAGAAUAAGCACCGGCUAACUCUGUG